rnacentral:rRNA from 1 species
CCUACGGGAGGCAGCAGUGGGGAAUAUUGCACAAUGGGGGAAACCCUGAUGCAGCGACGCCGCGUGAGUGAAGAAGUAAUUCGUUAUGUAAAGCUCUAUCAGCAGGGAAGAAAAUGACGGUACCUGAGUAAGAAGCCCCGGCUAACUACGUGCCAGCAGCCGCGGUAAUACGUAGGGGGCAAGCGUUAUCCGGAUUUACUGGGUGUAAAGGGAGCGUAGACGGCAGUGCAAGUCUGGAGUGAAAGGCUGGGGCUCAACCCCCGGACUGCACUGGAAACUGUACGGCUGGAGUGCAGGAGAGGUAAGUGGAAGUCCUAGUGUAGCGGUGAAAUGCGUAGAUAUUAGGAGGAACACCAGUGGCGAAGGCGGCUUACUGGACUGUAACUGACGUUGAGGCUCGAAAGCGUGGGGAGCAAACAGGAUUAGAUACCCUAGUAGUC